UGGAUAUUUACAUAUUGCCAUUAGCCCUAGGAAACUCAACGAGCAUUUCACUAUUCAACAAGUCACCAAGCGAACUUCUAAUUUAUAAAAAUGAAUAAUCUUAAUUCGCCACCUAGUAAAGCCAUGAAUCGAAAACGAAUCAAAAAAAGAAGUGUGUCCAUGAUAAAGAUGCAACCACCGGAAAAGCGAAUGCGUCUUGAAAAUGCAAUGGUAUUGGAAAUAAGGCGCAUUAAAGUUGAUCAAAAACAAGAUGAUUCUGGUUAUAACGUUAUCACUAAUAAGUAUUUAAUGGAUGAUUUCGAUGACACUGGCAUGCAAAUGCGUAUCUCUAAAUUGAAUUAGCAGGGAUAAAUUUCGAUUAAAUGCAUACCCAUCAUGCAUACUCAUCGUGCAUCAAAAUAUUGAUUAUGUUUUUCCCUAAAUUAGUUGCGACUGAACUAAUAAAUUUUGAUGGCGCCUAAAUUGGAUUAUUGAUACACUUAAAUUAUAAAUUGAAUUCGGUGCAGUUCUGCAAAACUUGGAAAUUUCAUUGUGACCCCUUGGAAAUUUGGUUUUCAUAAUGCAACUUGAUGAUGAUUGAAUAGCGCUUGCUGGAAUUAUAAAUAUAUGUUUUAGGAAUAUUAAGUGAUUGCAUGCACACAAAUGUGAGGGCAACUCAAUUACGGAAGCGUUUUGCGCCAUGUGGCGCCGCCAAGAAUUUCAUUUGGCUGGCAAGUCACGUGAUGUGCAACAGCAGCAGUCGUCGCUGGUGGGUUAUGUUAUGUUGCGCCGCCGAGAGGAUCUGGGCAUCUGGAGAUCGGGUGUCAGGGGUCGGGACUCUGGGGCUCUGGGGCUCUAAAGGUCUGAGGUCUGGGGGUCAAACGCUGACCCGACACAAUGAUAAACUGCGUGCCGCAAUAUGAGGCAUCUAGCCGCAGAACUUUUUGGCCAUGAGUGCGAGCGAGUGUAGGAGACCAGCCUGCCGCUAAUUUAUGUCAUCCCUCGUCCUUUCCCAGUCCGCCGAAGAUGGAUCCUGGCCCAUGGCCAAAGGGAGUCCUUUUAGUCACCAUUUUCUCCCUACGCCUUCUAUACUAAUUUUUUUUUUUUUUUUGGUUGCGACAUGGUCAACUGGCACAUGGCAUUCCCAGUGGCACGCUCCAGGGGCAUCAAUAUUCCCGACGCUGGACGCGCAUGGCCACCUUCGGCGAGGAAAGGCAGUCGUCGCUGGGCCACCAAAGCGCUCCCAA